rnacentral:rRNA from 1 species
CCCUUAGAUGUUCUGGGCCGCACGCGUGCUACACUGAGUGGAUCAGCGGGUCAGGUUGCGCGAAAGUGUUUCCUAAUCUUGAAAUCCGCUCGUGAUGGGGAUUGACGGUUGCAAUUUUCCGUCAUGAACGAGGAAUACCUUGUAAGCGCGGGUCAUCAUCCCGCGAUGAAUACGUCCCUGCCCUUUGUACACACCGCCCGUCGCUCCUACCGAUUGAGUGGUCCGGUGAGGCUUUGGGAUCUGAGCGGAAAGAGCGUUUCGCUGUUUCUGCUCGGAAAACUCAGUCGAACCUUAUCAUUUAGAGGAAGGAGAAGUCGUAACA